AGUGUUUUUGGGCAUCAUGGUUAUGCAGCCACAAUGCUCUGGGGGUCUCUCCUUGGAUCUUACGCUGCUUGUUUUGGCUUACGGACCAGUGCAUACUUUUAUGGCCAUUCAUUACUACAGGAAUGAAAAUAAGGCCCUUGAACCACUCCCCACCAUCCUAAAGCAGCUUCUUCUUACAUGGCCUUGGAUCAGCUCGCCAUCCACGUCCAACAGAACAAAUGCUAGCACAGGGGUCUUCCGUGGCUGAGACAGGUUCUGUGACUUGCAUUUGACUGAUGAAAUAUGGCAGAAGUGACACUGUGUGACUUCUGAAGCUUGUGCAGAAGAUGCUUUGCAUCAUCUUCCAGGAGUUCUUGAAACACUUUUUGGGACCCAGCUACCACAUAGUGAGAAGACCCAGCCACACACAGGUGCUCCAGUGGACAGCCCCAUCUGUGCUCCAAGCCAGCAUCAACUGCCAGCCUUGUGAAUGAACCACCUUGGACUUUCAGCCCCAUUGAGCCUGCAGACAACUCCAACCCUACAUACUGCAUGACUGCAGUAGGAUGAAAUAGAUAAACAGGCCCAGGGAGGUUUUGUGCCUAGCUUGAGUCAACACUGCUCUGGUGGUGGUCAGUCUCCUGCUGCUCGGUCCACAGUGCACACUAUUUCUGCUCUCUCUGGCUGGAGAGUCAGGGAAACUGUUGAGCCUACGAUAAUGAAGUCAAUUCUGAUCAACUGAGAUGCAGGAGGAACUCUGAGCAAGAUGAAGAAGGGGUGAAUGGUGACCUGUUCAGCCUGGCUGUUGGGCAUCCCCGGCUUUCAGCAGCACUGGAGGAAACGGAGCCAUGAUGGGCAACACACCAGGAGGCAACGGCAUAAUUUCUGCCCCCUGGAGAAGUCUGGCGCUGGCUAACAGACACAGCACAGGACUCAGGAGUGGAAGUGAAGCGUGCUCAUCACAUAUGAACGCAAGUGCCAAGCACCGUCCUUGAAAGAACAGAGCAGAACCUGACCAUCAGGCUGAUAGAAGUUGCAGAAAUAUGCCUUCACCAUGAUAAAAAUCUGGAUGUUGCAUAUGGAAAUUCAGGAUUUUUUUUAGCUUUUUUGAACAAUUGGAAAAUCUAAUGAUACAGGGAUACAAGACUUGUUUUUCUUGCAUGUUAACACCCAUUGGAGCUGAGCAGGGACUGUCCCGCUUUUUGUGGGACAUGAGUUUUGUGUGGGACAGAUAACCAUGGUUCCCACUGCUCCCUACUCCCAACACCUGGCCUGUCCUUCUCAAUUACUUGCCUGGUCCCUGGAGCCAUUUCAGUUUGAACGUCCUGGACCAGACUCAGGAAGAGUUAGUUUGGAAAAGUGUCUUGGAAGUAGGAAAUUCUUGAACAGAUUUUGAAAGGCAAGAUAAGAGUAGGCUGGCUGAUUAGGUGCACGGCAUUUUAGGAAGAAGCUUUCUAGAAGACCAGAAUGCUUCGGUUUAGCCAGAAGUAGGGCUGAUCUCAGGGUAUCUGUGCUUUGGAGAAAUCCAGAUGGUGUUGGCUGAGCAAGGUCUUAGCUCCUACUCUGUGGCAGGCAUUUUGUAGGAGCACUUCAGUGGACAAGACAAAUAGUUUCCUCCCUCAGGGAGCCUACAGCCUACUGGUGGAGGUGGCCAGUCAACAAGAAAACAAACUGCUACAUGUAAUUUACCCACUAUAACCAGUACUAUAAAAGGAACAGACAGAGCAUUGUUGUCACAGAGAAUUAUAAUGAAGGUGGUCAGGGAGGGGAGAAAGGAAUGAUACGACCUGGAAAAGGAGGCAGAGUCAGAUCACAGGCAUCUGAGUAAGAGGUUAGAGCUAGACUCCACUCUACAAAGCAGCUGUGAAAGGUCUGAAGGAUAGGAAUGACCUGAUUCAACUUACAUGUCAAAGGGGCUUGAGAGAUCGGCCUGGGAAAGGGCAAGGAAAGGCAGGACAACACAGAAGGAAGACAGGGAGGCAGUGAGCUGCUAUCCGAAAGGCACCUGGUGUGGGCUCUCCUGCCCUUGCAGCUGCCCACUGCCACCAGAGCACUGCCAGUACUCCCUCCUCAGUUGGCAGCAGUCCAUGCAGCUUUCUCCUGGGUAUUUCCUUCAUCUCUACCCUUGGUGCUCAUGUUUUAGAGCUUUUCUCCAGAAUAUAAAAUGAAGGGGAUGGUGACUUGCCUCUCUCUCCCUCCCCUGCAAACCCACCCCUGACCUCCCAGUACACAUACACACAAACCUGCAAGUGUGUACACACAGAGUAAUCUCAGGGUGCCUCACACCUAGGGUAGAAAGAAGCAGGUGGAAGAGCUUUGCCUGGCUGGAGUGACACCCACCAACCUGAGCUUAGCAGGAGUGGAGGCAGUUAGGUAGAGUAGGGCUGAUUGAUAAUAGCCUUGAAGUCUGAGACUGAAAGAGUUUCAUUAUGAUUUGGGAGGCAGCUGGGAGCCUUUGUGGAUGUGCAAAGAGGAGACCAAUGUGAUCUAAGUGACACUGGAGGAAAAAGAUUCUUGAUGAUGUGUGUCCAAUAGACGUCAGGGGACCCACACAGGCUGGAGGAAGGUGAGCUUAUUGGGAGGCAGGAGUCCAGGUGUGCAGGGAUUAUGACUUGGACCAAAGGUGUGGGAAGGGGAAGCAGCCAGAAGAAGAAAUGGCAGGAUUUAAUGUUGCACUUAGUGUGCCUCUGGGUGUAUGUUGGGGGUGGGAGACACGGGUAUAAAGAGAAAUGAAUGAGAAACCACGAAUUUAUUUGGCAAUGGCAUGGGACCUGGGAAUGGAUUUGGUAGGACAGCCAAGAGAAAUGUUUAGAGCUCACUCAGACAUGAGAAGUUGUCCCUUCCUUCUCCCUCCAUCUUGGACGGUUAAUUACUUUGUCUCAGGUGUGUGUCCAUUCCUGUGCUUGUACCAUGAUGUCGUGUUAUAAUAUGUCUUUGUCUGUCUAUACCUGCUGCUGAUCUGUGAGCCUCUGAAGACAGAUGCCUUAGUUUACUCCCUUUCUCUUCCCACUUCAUAGUUAGCAGGGGGCCUGGCCCUUAGCAAGAACUCAGCAUGUUUUGGUAAGUGAGUGAAUGGGAACUUUUCAGAGGCGUGCUGUUGAACCCCAGCCACUGUGCAACCACUGUAAAAUGUACACAUUUUGUGGAAGCUGCAGCAUCCUGUCAACAGUUGUGGAAAUCAGGUUACAGCCCAGAGCCUCACAAAGCCCCGGCCAUUACAGCGACUGACAGGUGGUCCUGGAAGUAGGGCAUGGAUUGGCGGACAGGAGGCUGGAGGAGUUAAAAUAGUGCUGGGGGAAUCUGAGAUGAAAUUGCAGGGUCGUUUAAACACCUUAGGGUUACAAAUAGGCUUUCACCCUUAAAAUCCCAUCUGUAAAUAUGUAGUCUUAAACUGCCUAAAGAGUCCUCUUAAUGUUGUUAAAUCCCAUGGUUGGUAGAGGCCAUAGCAAAGGCUUCGUACACUCUCAUCCUGUUGCUUUCACUGAAAUUACCUCUGUGUUACAAUGAAAUCUGAAACCUGGAAGAUACGUUAAAAAUGAAACUCCCUACCACAUGCUAUGCUACCAACCAAAAUCAACUGAAGUUAUUAAGCUUUCUAGAUAACUACCUUACUCAGCUUUUAUUCUGUGCCAGGCAUUGAUUUUAUGCACAUCAUAGCAUUUAAAGUUCACAACAAUUCCAUGAGAUAGGCACUGGUGUUGCCACUGGUGUUGCAGGUGAGCAAUCUGACGCCUAAAGGGUUGAAGUUACUUGCCCACUAAGUGUGCUCUAUUAUGAGCUCAUCCCUUGGCCAUGCAGUCUUCCAACUUAACAACAAGAAAGACAAGCCUGGGAAGGACAGAAGAGGUGGGGCUUCAAGUAGAGCAGGGAGUUUUCCAUGAAGAAGCAUGAAUGCAAGCUGCUUGAGCAGCCCAGUCCCCCCAGAGAGUACACGUGGAGGGAGACAGAGUGAUCAAGACUGCUUUUUACAGUGGGUCUUCAAGAGACACUUGGGGAGGUAGAGGAGGAGACAGCCAUGGGACCAAAGGACCUUUCCAAGAAGCAACCAGGAGUUCACCCAAGUCCCACUAUAGCUGAAACACCCUGUUAGCAGGACCUUCAUCUUCUCUGUUUCUUCUUACCUAUUCCUUCCCCAAUCACACAUUCCUAAUAGAUAAACAAAUAGAUUGGGUGCCAAUAGUGUUUUCAAUUCAGAUGUUCAUUUAGCAGGAACUUGGCUAAGGAUCAGCCUAUCUAGAAUCUGGGAUCAGAUGAGAGUAUAACAACUACGUGAGAAAAGCAUACGAUAUCAAAGGAAUAUAGCGCAUCUAACUUGCCUUCCGAGAAGCCAAGGAAACCCAAAGGAUGGCUCAAAAAGAGCAAGACUGCACUGCACUUCCUCUGGCCAUUACUACAACCAAAAGUGGUUUUGUGCAUGCUCAGCAGUCUUGGAAAAUUGCCUUUGCCCAAGGCCACCCAGGGCAACAAUGGUAAAACAAUGGAGGGCAAAGGGGUGAAUCUGAAUUUCAACAUAGUGCUUUCCAGAUAGUGGCUGCAGAAAUUCACUUACUGGUUUUAAACUGAACUUUUCCGAAACUCAAAAGAGAUACAGGUUAUGGAUUUGAGGAAGGCUGUUAUACUGAUAGUGUUUUGUUUUGUUUUGUCUUUUCUUUUCUUUUUUUUUAGGGCUGCACCCUCAGCAUAUGGAGGUACCCAGGCUAGGAGUCGAAUCAGAGCUGUAGCUGCCGGCCUGCGCCACAGCCACAGCGACCCCAGAUCCAAGCCAAGACUGCUACCUACACCACGGCUUAUAGCAAUGCCAGAUCCUUAACCCACUGAGCGAGGCCAGGAUCAAACCCGUGUCCUCAUGGAUGCUGAUCAGAUUCAUUUCCAUUGGAGCACAUCGAGAACUCCUGCUGAUAGUAUUAGAGAUGAAAAGCUUUUGGGAGAUAAUUUAGUUCAGACUCCUAAUUUUUAAAGGCCAGAAAACUGAAGCUAAGAAAGGAGAAGCAACUUGCUCAUGGUUACACAACCAGACAAUUGACAUACUGGGGCUAGAAACCAAGUUUCCUCUCUGUUCUGCUGGAAUUUUUCCCCCUAGGGGACAUAGGAGAGUUAAGCACCCAAAUAAAAACAUUGUCUCAG
ensembl:lncRNA